ACUUCUGCUUCCUUUUGCCCUUCCCCUUCUGCCUAUCCCGGGCUCCCCUUUCUUUCCUCGGUGGCUCCGGGGUCCGCGGCCCCGAGUCCGUUCAGCUUUCCACCAGCGUUAUCCAGGCGGUUCGGAAUGUCUUCCAGGUUCAACGAUUCCGUUGCAGACGCACAGCUCUGGCUCCAGUCGUCUGCUUAAUAUCCUCAAAUAAGAUAUUUGCAGGCGUAUAAUAAGUAACGCGAGUGCCCUCGUUCCCAUCGAACAACAACCCAACAAAGUUGCUCGCACUGUCAACUAUGAAAGACCCAGAAUCGCCACUUUUCGAGAAGGCGGCUGAUCCUGGCAGACCGGUAACGGAGCACUCAUUGGUGACAAUUACGUUUCCAGUUUUCCAACGCUCAAGCUUUAAGACUUUUAAGCCACUAAAACAGCCAAUGGUAAAAUUCGUUCUUCGACCGAACUUGUACAGUCGGUCAUUUUGCGCAGGCUUCUUACCAGUGGGAUCAUCCACAGCCUCACCGGAGAACGUGGUCCCCAUAUGCUCAUCUAUGUAUGAACCGACUGGUGGGAACUAUUAACCGAUGUCAGAAAAAGUUCGCGAGACUUUGGCGCUUGUCAUUACCAGAGGUCAGCCGGAACCCAGACGCAGCAUAAACUCUCCCCAAUGUUGCGGAUCCGGUGUUGAAAUGCUUUUCCGCACGGAGUUUUAGAGAAAGAGCGCUGAGGAUGGCUUUCUCCAUGUUUUCAAAUAUCAGUUCUUCCUUUGGGAUAAUGAAGUCACCGUCAUUCCUGGCCUUCUUGACUUGCUUGUACAGAGAUUGCUCCCUGACUGUCUCGAUAUUCUUCUUGAUCAUCUUCAUCCGUGCAUUGUGGUCUUUCAAGGAGGGCUGAUCGAUGCGGAUAUUCGCCUUGCUCGACUCCAGCACUGACAUUCCUAUAUCUCUCCAUCGCUCAAUAUCUAAGCACUGAUUAGCCAUGGGUACAAUACCGAGAAAUGUCCCUAGUGAGAAAGAUUUUACCACAGUAUUGGAACCAGAUAAGGAAUGUGCAAAUUCAUCUUCAAAGCACAAAAAGAGAAAGAAAGAAAAAACAAAAGAGAGAGAGAGAGUAUAAAGUUGGAGCUUACCUUUUCCCAGCUUAGAAUUGGGUGGGACAUUUCCUGGUUCAACUGCAUGAUAGCAUGUGAGGCCAACCACGCGCCAUAUGUUCUUUUCUGAGUCCAGCAACUCGACGAACCCGCCAAAAGUAGAGCCACCGUAAUCUGAAUUAUGGACCCCGAUGCUAGCGCCCAGUUUCACCCUUGUCUCCCAUGCAUGGUCAGGGAGGACGACACUAGUCAAGUCGACUUCUGUUGCUCGCCAGAUCGUGCUUCGGAUGAUUUCAACAGCAACCUCUCCGAGUCCUUCAUUAUCCAGAAGCAUCGAAAUUUCAUCGCGUUUGCUCUUCCAUUCUUUGGUGGUAUCACGAGGCACGGUCAACAAAACAGUGGGAUGGCUUUCUUGGGGAUCUUUGCUUGUGCCCCUCCGAAAACACUCAAGAGACAACCAGCCCUCUAAACCAAGGAGGUCACAAAUUUUGCGAGAGAUGUCAUCCCACCUGCUGUAAAUAGAAUCUUUAGGCAUCACGGGAGAUGUGAUCUUUUCAAUAUUCGCUCUCUCGUCGAUCAACUCCACACUAACGUUGUCGAAGCCCGAGGACCACAGAAUCGACAGGACAUCUUUGCACGUGUUUUUCCAGGAAUCGUCUCGCUCAGUUCUAUGUGCACAGAUGAGGACCGUUUCAAUCGGGCCUUCAUCUUCAUUUGUUUCAGAUGUUCGAAGGCAUGGAUCCAUGGUGCUAUUUUGGAUCCGAUGCUUCGAGAGGAUUUCGACGAACUUAGGGCGUAGCUCUGGCCACUGUCUCUGGAGUGGAUGAUCUGACGAAAGUGGAGUACCUAUGGCAGGAACAGUGCAUAGAAACGGGCCACCGGCCCGAAAAUCUUCGCUGAGAAUGCCAUCUUCAGUCUCAUCCUCAUCAGUGCUUGAACCACGAGUCCUUCUGAAACGUUCUUGCGAGAUGUGAGGUGACGGCAGCGACACUGGGGGUUCAGAUAGAAACCGCAGAACAGGUGAGGCAUAGGCUUCCUCGGAGCCCCUAUUCAUCCGCCUUCUGGAGGAGGCAGUAGUAGCAGUUUGGGACAUGGUGAACGCUCCCACGAGAGCUACGCGCAAUGAUAAGUAGUAGUUUAGAAAUGAACAAGAAAGUCUUUUUGGGGAUAAUGAAACUGCAGAAGAAAGAGGCAAAAAAUCACCAGUUCCGACGCGUUGAAGUGCAG
rnacentral:sRNA from 1 species